GGAGGAUGGGGUCCGGAGAGCCUUGACAGACUGCUGCCUUUGCUACUGAGGGCAUCGGACCAGGAGCAGUUGGAAGGUGUGUGUCUGCCCCCCUCCCUGGGUGGGCUGCCCCCCCUGGCGGGUCGCCGUGGUCCCGGGAAACAAAGCUCCAUGGCAACAUACCACCAGAGCAGUGCUGAGCCGCCAGAUCUCGACCAAUCACAGCCCAGCAUUGUACGCGGAAGCAUUCCUGUGGAACUCAGAGAUUUUCCAUCAGGCGGUGGCUGGGGCAGCCUGAUCAUGGGUCCUGAUGGCGACAUCAUACAGCUGUCUCUCUGGGACCCCUCAG